rnacentral:lncRNA from 1 species
AGAGCCGCAGCCGCCGCGCAGGCAGGGCCGGGCCGGGCCGGGUGCGCGGGCACAAAGGGGCCGCUGCACAUGGCAGGCAGGCGAGCAGAUGCCAGCAGACAGCUUUUUGUUUUGUGGAAGGUAGUACUUGCAAGGGAUGAAACUGGAUAUUUUACUGAGGAGAUUUCUAAGCAAAAUGUCGAAGAAGUGACUUGGUUCCUCCCAGUUGAUUGUAGUAAAAUGCAAGAAGAGAGAAAUGAAUUGAAAAAGGAAUUGUUGAGCAAAAAUGAACCAGAGUUUAAAGAUUUGGAAAAUUCUCUGUCUGUUCAUAUGACGAAAAAUGAGAAAGUGUGUACUGAAGAGAACACUAAGGGUGUGGUGGACCAACCAUUUCAUAAAGAGAUUAGUGUGGCUGUGUACCAUGAACUUAAUCAGCCAUUUCAACAGAGGCCGGGAAUACAGAUGGGAUUACACCUGCAGAGACACUGCUGGCUGGGACUAAAAAAAACAGAACAUGGAAUGGAAUGAAGGAAGGCCGUGACUUUGUGCUAUCAUCUAGUAAAAGGGAUGAAGGGCCCCGAGGCAAUUUGGAGGUCCUCUGCCUCCAAUUUGAAGGACUAUUGCCCUGGUUUCAAUAGUCCAGACAGCUUCCAACCAAAGAUGUGGAGGCACAAUCUUUGCCUGGUAGAGAAGCUAGGGGUGCAACAUCUGGCCAGGAAUGCUGCUGGGGUGGGACCUUUACCCUAGUGGCUCCAGAAGGCAGGGCAUCAAACCAAGGAUUACUCCCAAGCCUUAAGAUUUCAUGGAGUUUGCUUUGUAGUUUGGACUUGCUUGGGACUGGGUCACCCCUUCCUUCUGUGUUUCUUGCUUUUGGAAUGGGAAUGCCUAUCCUAUGCCUGUCCCACCAAUGUAUUUUGGAAGUAUACAACUUGUUUGGUUUCACAGAUUCGCAGCUGGAGAGGAAUUUUGCCCCAGGAUGAAUCAUAACUCAAGUCUCACUGUACCUAAUUUAGAAGAUAUUUAGAAAAGACUUUGGACUUUAGACAUUAGCGUUGUUGCUGGAAUGAGUUAAGACUUUGGAGGAUGGAAUGAAUGUACAGAUGCUCCUUGACUUAGAAUGGGGUUAUGUCCCAAUAAACCCAUUGUAAGUAAAAAAAUAUAUAAGUAAAAAUGCAUUCAGUACCCUGAUAAACCCAUGGUAAAGUCAAAAAAUCAGAAGAUGCUUUUCAACUUACAAUGGGGUUAUUUAUUUCCUGAUAGACCCAUCGCAAAAUUUAAAAAUUGUAAGUUGAACCAUCAUAUGUUGAGGACAAUGUGUAUUUGGCACAUGAGAAGGACAUGAAUUUUGGGGGGCCAGGGGUAGAAUGCUAUGGACUGAACUUAUGUGUCUCCCUAAAAUUCGUACGUUAUGACCCUAGUUCCUAAUGUGAUGAGGAAAUAAAUGUUCAUUGUUUAGGCCACCCAGUCUAUGGUAUUCUUUUUGUAUCAUCUUGCACUGACUAAGACAGGCAUUUAUGAAAUACAGUUGCUCUGGCACUAAAAGGAACAAAUGAUAUGCAGCAGUAAGGAUGGGUGUUAAAAAAUAUUGUGCUGAGUGAAAAAUGCCAGACCCUCCCACAACAUAUCCUCUACGUAAUUCCAUUUAUAUGAAGUUCUAUCAUUGGCAGGACAAAUCUAAUGUAUGUGAUUGAGAUCAGAUCAGUGGUUGCUUUGGGAGUAUGAGGUGGGAUUAACUGAGAAGGGGUACAGGGAAACUUUCUAGGGGAUAGAAAUGCUCCGUAUCUUCCUCAAGAUAUUAAUUUGUCAAACCCCAUGGAACUCUACAAUUAAGACCUGUGCAUUUCACUGUAUGUAAAUGAUACCUCAGUAGUGUGGUCUCUAUGUGUGUGUAUAUACAUGUGUGCGUGUGUGUGUAUCUGUUCUUUGCCCUGCCCCCUUUCCAUUCCUGCCCUGAGAAGAUAGAAGACCUAGGAAGUAGAGAAUGCAGUCCCAUAGAAAGGAAGGCAGUCCCAAGGAGGGCCAUAAAAGAAGUCCUAGAAGGACCGAGAAGGAGAGUGGAGGGUUCCAGCAGGGACGUCUACAAGAAAAUGGUGGCCCAGAUGGAUGACUUCAUGAGGAAGCUGGAGGAAGUUGUGGGAAGUUAUACCAGGAAGUUAUUAAAAGGUGUGAGAAAGAAAACUAAGGAAAAAGAAAGAAAAGCAAUCAUUAACAUGAGGAGGCAGGGGGCAGUAAGGACAGGGGCAUGGUCACAGUACCCUACAGUGCUCGGCUGGGAGUAAUAUGUACAUAGGAUAAUGUAAACACUAUGUGUUAUUUAAUCCUACAAUUUGCAAUAUAAUUAUAUUGAAGGACUGCUGAGGGAGGGCUGAAGGAUGGCUCCUUGACCAUCAUGUGAAGUUAGUAGUUAAAACGGAUGAAUCAGAAGAGGUCAGGGUGCACACAUUACUUAGAAUCAAGAACAUGUGAAUGCCAGGAAAAAAAAUUGCUUAAAAAUUAUGUGGACUUUAAAUUCUAUCUACCAGGCCACAUUAGUCUUUUCCAGUAACAAAGUUGAACCCUCUAAGGAGAUUUCUAGGGCAGUUUGAAAAAGACCCAAAGCUGUUUACUAAUGUAGUUUAUUAAUUAAAGUGGCCCUGGAGUCACACACCACAGGUACUACAAUUUGUCAUGACAUUUGGCCCUCCAUGUCCAAGGGUUCCACAUACACGGAUUCAACAAACCUCAGAUCAAAAUUAUUCAAAAAAUGAAAAUAAAAAAUAAUAAUGCAACCAUAUGACACCUUCCAGUUGCCUGACUGCCUCUUCACCUUUCCCAUGGGAACUCCAGCGUCUCCUUUGCUCAAAACGGACCCCAACAGCUCCUGCACCACUGGCGGCUGCUGGCCCUGUGCUGGCUCCUGCAAAUGCAAAGAGUGCAAAUGCACCUCCUGCAAGAAGAUCUGCUCCUGCUGCCCUGUGGGCUGUGCCAAGUGUGCCCAGGGCUGCAUCUGCAAAGGGGCAACAGAGAAGUGCAGCUGCUGUGCCUGAUGUGGGGACAGCCCUGCUCCCAGAUGUAAAUGAAGCAACUUGGAUACAAACCUGGAUUUUUUUUUUCAUAUGACCCUGAGCCAUUUGCUACAUUCCUUUUUCUAUAAAUAUGUAAAUAACAGUAAAACACUUUUGACUUAAAAAAAAAUGCAACAAUAUGAAGUAAUACAAAUAAAAAUACAGUGUUAACAACUAUAUACAUAGCAUUUACAUUGUUCUAGGUAUUAUAAGUCAUCUAGAGAUGAUUUAAAGCAUGUGGGACAGUGUGUGUGGGCUAUGUGUACAUACUGUACCAUUUUAUGGAAGAGACCUGAGCAUCUGCUGCUUUUUAGCAUCCACGGGGGUCCUGAGACCAAUCCCCUGAAGAUACUUAAGGUUGGCAGUACUCAUUUAUUUGUUUACUUGUUUUCAGAAGUUCAGACUAAAACCAGGUAAGCAAAAAUUAUUGACGGUAGCUCUGAAGCAAGCAAGAGGGAGGAGCCCUUACCUCCCUGCUGUGGUGUGGCAGGAGUCCCUCUCCUGAAGCCGUUGGCAAGACUAGACCUCUCUCAUACAUCCCCCACCGCAGCCUCAUUAUCAGCCAGUCAGUUCAAUAUGAUGUUUCCUCAACUCUCAGAUCUUCUGUUCCAAAACCCACCAACAAUUUAAUAACAGCUUUGCAGCUGACAAGCCUACUUUGACCUGAAUUGCAAAAUGCAUCUCAAUUUCAGAAAUAUUAAUAUGUGGAAAACCAUGUAUCUCUCCACCAAAGAUUCCGUUAAAGGACCCUGGUUUGGGUCUUGUUCCACACCUCCCAUCUUGGCCUAUUGGUGGAGGUAUUUUUGUACAGCUGAACAGUGUCCCAGAGUCCCCCGACAGCUCAGGCCUUCAUGCUCUUGGCUAUACCGAGUGUUGGCUGCCCACAGCUCUCAACUGAAUUCCUCUCUGUGAUUUGCCUUCAGCUCAAAACAGCCACUUUCCCGAGUUCAUGCCCCUUCCCCAGGACAGCUGUGUCCAGUGGGCAAUGGGGCAGGGGUACAAAAGCCCCGCCCUCUGAGGGCUCUUUCCACUUCAGACUUGCCCUGGGGUUGUCGGAGGCCUCGUGGAGACUGCCUUGCAGCUCAGCAUCUCUCUGCCUCAUCCUGCCUCUUUCUCUUCCUUCACAGAUGUUGAUCCUGGGAGUACCUCAAUAAACUUCAGGAGGCAAAUCUCAGAGUCAGCUUCCUGAGGUCCCAAAUGGGACAAAGUCUCAUUUCAGCCUAUUGUCGUUCCCUUCAUGCCGUAGGCAUUUCAGGGGUUCAUGACUGACCACCCCGUCCAGUCUCUGUGCAGACAUGAACCCAUUACACCUGGAGCCCUCCCUGACUUCCUAAGGCCCUGAGCUGGUGCUUUUCUGGGCCAAGCCCAUCAUGAGGCUUCUGACAGAUGAGGUGACCAUCCUGCUCUGCUACUGACGUGACAUGUGGCUUCGGCAGAUUGCUCACGGUCCCUCCGCCUCCAGGUCCUCAUCUGUCAAACGGGAGGAUUCAGCAGGAGGACUGCGGUGAAGCAUUAAGCACAGGCCUGGCACAUGGCAGGGGCUCAUUCCUUUUUCCUGUAUCCCAUUCCAG